rnacentral:tRNA from 1 species
GGGUAUAGCUCAGUGGUAGAGCAUGUGCUUAGCAUAAACGAGGUCCUGGGUUCAAUGCCCAGUACUGCCA